CUAUCCUGCACACACACACACACACACUCCCAUGCAAGCGUAAGUGGAGUCACAAGUUUUCGUGCAGCAUCUCGGUACAAUGGUAUCUCUUUUUUCUCGACCUUUCGUGCCAAAGACAAGCGUGAAAGGCUGCAUCGGCUCUCGCCUUGCUCCCAUCCGCUGUGUAUCUGUGUAUCUGUAUGUGUGUGUAUGUGUGCAUGUGUGUGUAUAUGUGUGUGUAUGUGUGCAUGUGUGUGUGUAUGUGUGUGUAUGUGUGCAUGUGUGUGUGUAUGUGUGUAUGUGUGUGUGUAUGUGCAUGUGUGUGUGUAUGUGUGUAUGUGUGUGUAUGUGUGCAUGUGUGUGUGUAUGUGUGUGUAUGUGUGCAUGUGUGUGUGUAUGUGUGUAUGUGUGUGUGUAUGUGUGUAUGUGUGUGUGUAUGUGUGCAUGUGUGUGUGUAUGUGUGCAUGUGUGUGUGUAUGUGUGCAUGUGUGUGUGUAUGUGUGUAUGUGUGUGUGUAUGUGUGUAUGUGUGUGUGUAUGUGUGUAUGUGUGUGUGUAUGUGUGCAUGUGUGUGUGUAUGUGUGUAUGUGUGUGUGUAUGUGUGUAUGUGUGUGUGUAUGUGUGUAUGUGUGUGUGUAUGUGUGUAUGUGUGUGUGUAUGUGUGCAUGUGUGUGUGUAUGUGUGUAUGUGUGUGUGUAUGUGUGUGUGUAUGUGUGUAUGUGUGUGUAUGUGUGUAUGUGUGUGUGUAUGUGUGUAUGUGUGUGUGUAUGUGUGUGUAUGUGUGUGUGUAUGUGUGUGUGUAUGUGUGUGUGUAUGUGUGCAUGUGUGUAUGUGUGUGUGUAUGUGUGUGUGUAUGUGUGCAUGUGUGUAUGUGUGUGUGUAUGUGUGUGUGUAUGUGUGCAUGUGUGUAUGUGUGUGUGUAUGUGUGUGUGUAUGUGUGUGUGUAUGUGUGCAUGUGUGUGUGUAUGUGUGUAUGUGUGUGUAUGUGUGUGUGUAUGUGUGUAUGUGUGUGUGUAUGUGUGUAUGUGUGUGUGUAUGUGUGUAUGUGUGUGUAUGUGUGUGUGUAUGUGUGUAUGUGUGUGUGUAUGUGUGUAUGUGUGUGUGUAUGUGUGUAUGUGUGUGUGUAUGUGUGCAUGUGUGUGUGUAUGUGUGCAUGUGUGUGUGUAUGUGUGUAUGUGUGUGUAUGUGUGCAUGUGUGUGUGUAUGUGUGCAUGUGUGUGUAUGUGUGUGUGUAUGUGUGUAUGUGUGUGUGUAUGUGUGUGUGUAUGUGUGCAUGUGUGUGUGUAUGUGUGUAUGUGUGUGUAUGUGUGUAUGUGUGUGUAUGUGUGUGUGUAUGUGUGUAUGUGUGUGUGUAUGUGUGUAUGUGUGUGUGUAUGUGUGCAUGUGUGUGUGUAUGUGUGUAUGUGUGUGUGUAUGUGUGUAUGUGUGUGUAUGUGUGUGUGUAUGUGUGUAUGUGUGUAUGUGUGUGUAUGUGUGCAUGUGUGUGUGUAUGUGUGUAUGUGUGUGUGUAUGUGUGUAUGUGUGUGUGUAUGUGUGCAUGUGUGUGUGUAUGUGUGUAUGUGUGUGUGUAUGUGUGUAUGUGUGUGUAUGUGUGUGUGUAUGUGUGUAUGUGUGUGUGUAUGUGUGUGUGUAUGUGUGCAUGUGUGUGUGUAUGUGUGUAUGUGUGUGUGUAUGUGUGCAUGUGUGUGUGUAUGUGUGCAUGUGUGUGUGUAUGUGUGCAUGUGUGUGUAUGUGUGUAUGUGUGUGUAUGUGUGUGUGUAUGUGUGUGUAUGUGUGUAUGUGUGUGUGUAUGUGUGUGUGUAUGUGUGUGUGUAUGUGUGUAUGUGUGUGUGUAUGUGUGUAUGUGUGUGUGUAUGUGUGUAUGUGUGUGUGUAUGUGUGUGUGUAUGUGUGUGUGUAUGUGUGUAUGUGUGUGUAUGUGUGUGUGUAUGUGUGUAUGUGUGUAUGUGUGUGUAUGUGUGCAUGUGUGUGUGUAUGUGUGUAUGUGUGUGUGUAUGUGUGUAUGUGUGUGUGUAUGUGUGCAUGUGUGUGUGUAUGUGUGUAUGUGUGUGUGUAUGUGUGUAUGUGUGUGUAUGUGUGUGUGUAUGUGUGUAUGUGUGUGUGUAUGUGUGUGUGUAUGUGUGCAUGUGUGUGUGUAUGUGUGUAUGUGUGUGUGUAUGUGUGCAUGUGUGUGUGUAUGUGUGCAUGUGUGUGUCUUCUCACUUUGCUGUCAACCUGCGCCGAUGGAUUUUAUGGAUAGGGCCGGUGCUAACCCGCUUCUCCUUUCCUGCUUCUCCCCUCUUCCUAAUGCGCGAGACGCACACUUAGCCGCAUGCAAAGAGAUGGGGGUAGGAAAGGGGGAAGACAAGCUGAUGCGGAAGUCGACGGAGACACGGUGCUGAUGUGCGUGCCGCCGUUGGGUCUCCCCGUCCCUUACUUCUUUUCUGUCGAAACACACCCACACCCCUCACACACACGCACGCUCACCAGUUUUAGUGCCUCUGCUGCAUUUUGAUUGUCCUGGCGUCGGAUCCCUCUGUCUCUCUCUCUCUCUAGCCGUAGCUAGCUCUCUUUCUUGUUGAUCAGGCUUUGGCAUGAUGUCGAACAGGCGUGUCUGCGUGCGGACGAGGUGUUUGUGCAUGCCAGAGACGAUGUGUGCAUAAAUGGAAGGUGCGUUCUCCUCCCACGUGUGUGUGUGUACAUGUGUACGUGAGUGAGUGUCGCCCUCUCCCCUCUUAUGGGGCAUUAGCCUCUAUAGCACUUAUUACAUCUAUAUAACCUCCUUAGCCUCACUGAGGUGAUCGCCUUAACCACCUUCUCUGUCGCUGGCUCCCUGGCCUUUCCCUAAUGAUGAUAGCCCCAGGCGUGAGACACACACACACACACCUCUGCGUCUCUGCUGAAGCGUAAUCGAACUGGCACGUUCUCGUGUUUUGUUUUGUUUCACUUUCUUUACUCGUGUCUUUUGUGGGUGUCUGUCUGCGUAGGCGUUUCCGUGGUUGUGCGUAGUGGCUUCCUGUGACGCGCUGUGAUUCGUUUCGUUUGUAGUCUCUUACUUCACCUCCACUGUGUGUCGCACCCCCUCUCCUUCGCUGCCCCUUAUCGUUCCUUACCCUUGUGGUGAAGCCGAAGGGGCAGCGGGGCACCUUUCAAGGAGGGAGCGCUGACUUGAAAGAGUUUGGACCCCGUGCAUACGGGCACACACACACACACAAACACAGAGAGAGCGGGCGAGGAAGUGAGACGUGCGAAUGCUUUGUUUCCCGGUUCAACUCUAUCUCCCACUCUCUUUCGUGGCAUGAUCUCGAUCCGUGCGCCUUGCGAACUUCAUAACAGCAUGGAACGAAGGCUCACUCGGCUCCUCUUCUGAGUGUCCUUUCCUUCCUAUUUUUCUUUGAUCAACCGGCAUGGCGCUCGGUGAGGGGGCGGGGCGGUCGGCCCAGUGACCCCUGCACUCUUGCCCUGGGGGGAAGGGGUGCGAGGCGGAAUGGAGGGAGUAGAAGAAGCAAGUGUGUGCUAGAGAAGCGUUGCCACUCUUGUGGCAUGCUCUACCCCACAUCACCGUUUCAAGACCACAGUGCAUGUAAACGCGGCUCCUGUCUCUUUCCCCUCGUCACUCCCGAUAGAGCACACAUGCACAGAUGCAUCAACAUCUGAAUAGCGCCGCACAUCCACUGUCACAGAUGACCGCAUCCUCGCU
rnacentral:misc_RNA from 1 species